AUUCUCACUCGUCUUCCAAACGACAACAGAUUUUUGGCUUUUGAAAAACUAGAAAUUGAAAAAAAAAAAAAAAAAAGAAACCAAUAGUCUUUUUAUAAAAUUCAGAUUUUCAUAAUUUUAUUAGGGUUUUGGGGUUUUGACUAAAUCUAGAUUGUAGUCAUCAAAUCCAGCGGUUGUUGUUUAUCGUCUAACACAAAAAAUGCCUCGCGCAUCAAAGAGAAAAGCGGCCCCACUGAACUCCUCCUCCGUCACAUCAUCUGCUGACUCUCGUGCUGGUAAGGUCAAAUCAAAGGAUAUUGAGCGGAUAGACAGCCUGUUUAAUUCUUAUGCAAAUGCCUCGUUAGGCAUGAUUGAUCCUGAAGGAAUCGAGGCUUUGUGUUCGGAUUUGAAAGUUGAACACACUGAUGUUCGGAUCCUGAUGCUUGCUUGGAAAAUGAAAGCUCAAAAGCAGGGUUAUUUUACCCAGGAAGAGUGGCGGACAGGGCUGAAGGCUCUUCGCAGUGAUACUCUCAACAAACUAAAGAAAGCACUCCCAGAACUGGAGAAAGAGGUGGGGACACCAGGAAACUUUGAGGAUUUCUAUUCUUAUGCAUUUCGAUAUUGUCUAACAGAAGAGAAGCAAAAAAGUGUAGACAUUGAGAGCAUUUGUGAGUUACUGGAUCUUGUCCUUGGUUCACAAUUUCGUUCUAAGAUUGAUUCAUUAAUAGAGUAUCUAAAGAUCCAAAGUGAUUACAAGGUGAUAAACUUGGACCAAUGGAUGAAUUUUCUUCGUUUUUGCAAGGAGAUCAGCUUUCCAGAUUUUGAGAACUAUGAUGCAACUCAAGCCUGGCCCUUGAUUCUAGACAAUUUUGUCGACUGGAUGAAAGAAAAGGAAAGGUAGUUUCAGCAAUUCUUUGGCCGUUUUGAUCCCCUACUUAAAAGAAAAAGAAUCGGAUUCGAUAAGGGAUUUGCCAAAACCAUAACUACUGGAGCAUUUUUUGUAUAAACUAUCUAUACCAAGAAUGCUCAUGCUGGGCUCUGAAGACAUUCACAAUCACAUAAUACAAUUGUCAAUUUUGGCUUCUUUUUUCGUUUGUUAUUUUUUCAUCAUCUGGUUGUUGUCCUGCCUCUUCUAAAUUAAGGGUAUUUCUUAAUUAUUGAGAUAGCAAACGCAAAUAUGUAUAAGAUAUCUGAAGUAAGAUCAUCUUCAAAAGAAGUAAAAUCCAAAAAAAGCAGUCCAUUACAGGCAGUAAAACUAAUGCUACUGAAUGUUGUUGAUGAGCCAUCCAAAGAGUAAUUGCACUGUUAAUUUUUUUA